GUCCCACCCAGCAGUCGACAUGUGGUCUCUUGUCACCGCUUUGCCCUCAAGUGACUCGAGUCUCGCUUGCAGGCUGGAGUGCAAAGUGUGGCCGGUGGCUGGACCGAUCCUCCCACGACUUCUGCUACCUGAUCCAGCACAGGCACACCAAGACUUGGGAGAAUGCGCGAGACGACUGCCUCCGCCGCGGAGGCGACCUACUCAGCAUCACCGACUCACGCGAACAGGCCUUCAUACAAAGUAGGCUGUCUGUCUGUCUGGUCGCAAUCAGGGGUGUUGAAAUCCCCCAACGUGGGCGGGGCUCCAGACGUCACCUGUGUUCGGUUCCUCUGACAACCUUUAACAUUUACGCAUUCAAAUCACGUGCCUUCUCAUCGGUACUGCGUGGCCACAAAUGAGCAGUUGGUCUAUCUUUGCUACCCUCCCGGAAGAAGCCGCAGUGAGCAGAGCACCAACGAGAAUGUUUCAAACGCUUGUUGCACAUUUUACCAUUUACCUCCAAAGGUCUGUACACUUUUCUGCCGAGCUCUCCCUCUCUGUGGUUGGGCGUCAACAACAACAUCACGAAAGACGGCAGCGAGUGGACUGACGGAUCCCCGUUCGGUUACGUGCUCAUGGACGGCGAUGACCCCGGUGACCUCUCUGGUGCACCCUGUCUUUCCUUACUCACAAGCAACGGCCGCUGGAAGUUUGACGAUUGCAGGAAGAAAAGGGGCUACAUCUGCAAGAAAAGAGGAAUCCCGGCAACGCCUCAGCAGCCUCUUGAGG